CACAUGCAGUCGAGCGGUAACACAGGGAGCUUGCUCCCGGGUGACGAGCGGCGGACGGGUGAGUAAUGUCUGGGAAACUGCCUGAUGGAGGGGGAUAACUACUGGAAACGGUAGCUAAUACCGCAUAACGUCGCAAGACCAAAGAGGGGGACCUUCGGGCCUCUUGCCAUCAGAUGUGCCCAGAUGGGAUUAGCUAGUAGGUGGGGUAACGGCUCACCUAGGCGACGAUCCCUAGCUGGUCUGAGAGGAUGACCAGCCACACUGGAACUGAGACACGGUCCAGACUCCUACGGGAGGCAGCAGUGGGGAAUAUUGCACAAUGGGCGCAAGCCUGAUGCAGCCAUGCCGCGUGUAUGAAGAAGGCCUUCGGGUUGUAAAGUACUUUCAGCGGGGAGGAAGGUGUUGAGGUUAAUAACCUCAGCAAUUGACGUUACCCGCAGAAGAAGCACCGGCUAACUCCGUGCCAGCAGCCGCGGUAAUACGGAGGGUGCAAGCGUUAAUCGGAAUUACUGGGCGUAAAGCGCACGCAGGCGGUCUGUCAAGUCGGAUGUGAAAUCCCCGGGCUCAACCUGGGAACUGCAUUCGAAACUGGCAGGCUAGAGUCUUGUAGAGGGGGGUAGAAUUCCAGGUGUAGCGGUGAAAUGCGUAGAGAUCUGGAGGAAUACCGGUGGCGAAGGCGGCCCCCUGGACAAAGACUGACGCUCAGGUGCGAAAGCGUGGGGAGCAAACAGGAUUAGAUACCCUGGUAGUCCACGCCGUAAACGAUGUCGACUUGGAGGUUGUGCCCUUGAGGCGUGGCUUCCGGAGCUAACGCGUUAAGUCUACCGCCUGGGGAGUACGGCCGCAAGGUUAAAACUCAAAUGAAUUGACGGGGGCCCGCACAAGCGGUGGAGCAUGUGGUUUAAUUCGAUGCAACGCGAAGAACCUUACCUACUCUUGACAUCCAGAGAACUUUCCAGAGAUGGAUUGGUGCCUUCGGGAACUCUGAGACAGGUGCUGCAUGGCUGUCGUCAGCUCGUGUUGUGAAAUGUUGGGUUAAGUCCCGCAACGAGCGCAACCCUUAUCCUUUGUUGCCAGCGGUCCGGCCGGGAACUCAAAGGAGACUGCCAGUGAUAAACUGGAGGAAGGUGGGGAUGACGUCAAGUCAUCAUGGCCCUUACGAGUAGGGCUACACACGUGCUACAAUGGCGCAUACAAAGAGAAGCGACCUCGCGAGAGCAAGCGGACCUCAUAAAGUGCGUCGUAGUCCGGAUUGGAGUCUGCAACUCGACUCCAUGAAGUCGGAAUCGCUAGUAAUCGUAGAUCAGAAUGCUACGGUGAAUACGUUCCCGGGCCUUGUACACACCGCCCGUCACACCAUGGGAGUGGGUUGCAAAAGAAGUAGGUAGCUUAACCUUCGGGAGGGCGCUUACCACUUUGUGAUUCAUGACUGGGGUGA
rnacentral:rRNA from 1 species